rnacentral:rRNA from 1 species
GAUGAACGCUAGCUACAGGCUUAACACAUGCAAGUCGAGGGGCAGCAUGAACUUAGCUUGCUAAGUUUGAUGGCGACCGGCGCACGGGUGAGUAACACGUAUCCAACCUGCCGAUGACUCGGGGAUAGCCUUUCGAAAGAAAGAUUAAUACCCGAUGGCAUAAUUCUUCCGCAUGGUAGAACUAUUAAAGAAUUUCGGUCAUCGAUGGGGAUGCGUUCCAUUAGGUUGUUGGCGGGGUAAACGGCCCACCAAGCCUUCGAUGGAUAGGGGGUUCCUGAGAGGAAGGUCCCCCACAUUGGAACUGAGACACGGUUCCAAAACUCCUACGGGAGGCAGCAGUGAGGAAUAUUGGUCAAUGGACGAGAGUUCUGAACCAGCCAAGUAGCGUGAAGGAUGACUGCCCUAUGGGUUGUAAACUUCUUUUAUACGGGAAUAAAGUGAGGCAUGUGUGCCCUUUUUGUAAUGUACCGUAUGAAUAAGGAUCGGCUAACUCCGUG